rnacentral:rRNA from 1 species
UACGAGGGGGGCAAGCGUUGUUCGGAAUUAUUGGGCGUAAAGGGCGCGUAGGCGGUUUGGCAAGUUUGAUGUGAAAUCUUCGGGCUCAACUCGAAGUCUGCAUCGAAAACUGCCGGGCUUGAGUAUGGGAGAGGUGAGUGGAAUUUCCGGUGUAGCGGUGAAAUGCGUAGAUAUCGGAAGGAACACCUGUGGCGAAAGCGGCUCACUGGACCAUUACUGACGCUGAGGCGCGAAAGCUAGGGGAGCAAACAGG